AUGUUGGUAAAGCAUUUACCUAAGUUAUGGAAAAUUCAUAAUUCAUCCGUUAUUUUAGAUGAUACUAAAAAACAAGAUAGAGUAAAACUGUAA
rnacentral:rRNA from 1 species